GACGAACGCUGGCGGCGUGCUUAACACAUGCAAGUCGAACGGAAAGGCCCUGCUUUUGUGGGGUGCUCGAGUGGCGAACGGGUGAGUAACACGUGAGUAACCUGCCCUUGACUUUGGGAUAACUUCAGGAAACUGGGGCUAAUACCGGAUAGGAGCUCCUGCUGCAUGGUGGGGGUUGGAAAGUUUCGGCGGUUGGGGAUGGACUCGCGGCUUAUCAGCUUGUUGGUGGGGUAGUGGCUUACCAAGGCUUUGACGGGUAGCCGGCCUGGGAGGGUGACCGGCGACCUUGGGACUGAGAUACGGCCCAGACUCCUACGGGAGGCAGCAGUGGGGAAUAUUGCACAAUGGGCGGAAGCCUGAUGCAGCAACGCCGCGUGCGGGAUGACGGCCUUCGGGUUGUAAACCGCUUUCGCCUGUGACGAAGCGUGAGUGACGGUAAUGGGUAAAGAAGCACCGGCUAACUACGUG
rnacentral:rRNA from 1 species